UACAGAGGGGGCAAGCGUUGUUCGGAAUUACUGGGCGUAAAGGGCGCGUAGGCGGCCUGUUAAGUCAGACGUGAAAUCCCUCGGCUCAACCGGGGAACUGCGUCUGAUACUGGCGGGCUUGAAUUCGGGAGAGGGAUGUGGAAUUCCAGGUGUAGCGGUGAAAUGCGUAGAUAUCUGGAGGAACACCGGUGGCGAAGGCGGCAUCCUGGACCGACAUUGACGCUGAGGCGCGAAAGCCAGGGGAGCAAACAGG
rnacentral:rRNA from 1 species